rnacentral:rRNA from 1 species
GACAGAGGGUGCAAACGUUGUUCGGAAUUACUGGGCGUAAAGCGCGUGUAGGCGGCUCUGCAAGUCGGAUGUGAAAGCCCUCGGCUCAACCGGGGAAGUGCACUCGAAACUGCAGAGCUGGAGUCCCGGAGAGGAUGGUGGAAUUCUCGGUGUAGAGGUGAAAUUCGUAGAUAUCGAGAGGAACACCGGUGGCGAAGGCGGCCAUCUGGACGGUGACUGACGCUGAGACGCGAAAGCGUGGGGAGCAAACAGG